rnacentral:lncRNA from 1 species
UUCAAGAGCCCGUUCCGGCGCUUGCAGAAGGUCACCUGGCGGCUAGUGGUAUUCUCAAUCCUCUUGAUCUCAAUCCUUCCCCUCCCCAUCUCGGCCGCUUCUUGGUGUUAGCCCUGAAAUCAGACAAACACGGCAGAUCCAUCGAUCGGUCAAGGAUGAUACAACAAAAGUUACCACGAAUGCAAAUAUAUGUAAUAAUGUAAGGUGUGAUGGAUCUAACCGAAAGGAAAAAAAAAAAAGGAAGGCAUAGGAAAGGGAUGAACAAGGAACAAGAAAAGGGAUCGAUCCGCGGGCCUAGCUUGCAAAGAAAACUGGAAGAAGGAGAAAAACAAUUCCAUGAUUUGAUUGAUGGACGACCAAAUUUGAAGAUGGCUAAACAUGGUGAAUCGAUCCCAUGAUUUGACGGAUGCAAGUCAUCCUUUUGGUCUGUGAAGAAGUCACGGCAACAUAAGAUCUAGCAAAGGUAAUAAAAGCUUUCUUCUUCUCCAUCUGUCUCACAAAUAACCCAAAGCGACAAGUAGAGAUCCCUUUAGAACCAGUUCCCAGCUGCUGGGCUGGGAUGGGAUGGAAUUAACAGCUCCAAGAAAAAGCAUUAUAUCACUGAAGUUUCAUCCCUGAAAGGGAAAAAGAAGAAAGCAGAUCUUUUUUUUUAGUUGAGAAGAAACUAAAUCUGUUAGCAAGAUCGUUUUUGUAUCCCAAAACAAAGCAAGCAAAAGUUGGUACGAUCUCUCUUAACAAAAGUACUGUAGCUGCUUAGAAGAAACAUCCGCGCUCGUCUAGUAGCAUGUUACCGUGCAAGAUGAAAGAUCUGUCUAGAACUCCAGAUAGCUAGCUAAGAAUAGACUGAACUCUGUACAAGUAAACCAACCAAGACUUCCAGAACGAAUCAACAAGAUAGCCAAGCACACGCACCGGCGGCCGUGAAAGAAUCCAAAGUCUAGAUGGCUAGAAACAGAGGGGAAAUCAUCCAUUCCAAGAGAAAAAAAAGCAUCAAAGGAUAAAUCUCCGUCCAUGGUUUUUCUUGCAACAACGUACUAACAGAAGAAGAAAAAGGAAGAGAUGAGAUGGAUCGAUUUCCUAAAAGAGACACAACAAAUAUACAAAGCAAGAAGAUCCAUGUAAACUGCAGGCAUAUACAUGCAUGAACAUAACCCAUGGCAGAUCAUAACGAAAGACAAGCAUGGAUACAAGGAGGGGGUAACCUAGCUAGGCAGAAGAGCAGACGAUGGACAAGGUAUGGAGCUCUCUGAUGCAGCUAGCUGUCCUUCCUCCCUUUGGUUUAUAGGACCCAAGCCAGAGGCAGAAAAAUGAGGGGCUCCAGCUGGUUUUUCCUCUAGGAGGUAAAGUAAGAGACGAGUUGAUAUGGGCCAAGCGAAGGCAGGGUUUUAAAGGACGGCAGGCGCUUACAUACAGAUAAGUGAACCGAGAGAUGAGACCUCACUUGCACUCUUGCACAGAAAUGCAUUUCUCUCUUGCUUACCACAUGUCACAUGUGUCACGUGGUCUCUCUUGCUGAGGCGUUUGUUAGCUUGCUUACCCGUUUAUUCUUUAUUGAUGCUCCUUUAGAUAGCUCUUCUUACUAAUAUGGAAUACUUUACUUGAUUAUCGACGUGUCCCCUCACUUUUCACUGUAUGUACGUGUUGUCGAGCUAUUUCCUCUAAUAUUGGCCAAAUUAGUUAUGUGCAAGUAAUUAAUUAAGAGGACACGAACUAACUAUUGUCAGUUCAUUCCAUGUACAUAUAUGCAUAUAUGGACAGUUCGUUCCAUGUACAUAUAUAUGCUGAGUUCAACUCAAAAUAACUUGCCGUCUUUGCUCAACACUUGUGUGCUCAGUAUUUUUUUUAGAAAGAAGGAUUACCUCCGACCUCCUCUGCAUCAGUACGACGCAUGCAGCCAUUUUAUUAAAGAAAACAAUCAAAUAGUCAGCGGUUCCUAACAAGCUCUAAAGGAGCAACAAAAUAAUUCAAAAUAAAACCAAAGGAUGCCACAACCGGCUAAUAUACGCCUAAAUGCCCAUCAAUCCUAUUAUUGGACCGCCAUUCAAACCGAUUGUAGAUAUUCCGAGCUACCAUUUUCCAUCGGAUAGACCGAGUAACCGAAGGCUCCCUGGUUUCCGUAGGAGUGAAUAACGACCAUGUACGGAUCAACGCCGAUGCCAUGUAAAGUUCCUGCAAAAAAAAAUAUGUGUCUGUUUGUAAAGUACGGACCAACGCCGACCAUGUACGGAUCAACCACCAGGACGUCUCCAACGCAUUUCUUCACGGCCAUCUCGCCGAGCAAGUCUACUGCCGGCAACCCAUUGGGUUUGUCGACGCCACUCAUCCGGAUCAUGUGUGCGUGCUUUCUAGAUCUCUGUACGGGUUGAAUCAGGCACCCUGAGCGUGGUACCAGCGCACCGCUGCCUUUCUCUAGCAGUUAGGCCUUCGAGCUACUCACUCCGACACCUCCCUCUUCAUGUUCUCUCACGGCAACGCGUUGGCAUACCUACUCCUCUACGUCGAUGACAUCAUCUUCACGUCAUCCUCGGCCGAGCUUCUGGGGCAGCUCACCGCUCGCCUAAGCACCAAGUUUGGUUUGAAGGAUCUGGGUCGGGUCCACUACUUCCUUGGCACUCAUGUUAUUCGGCGUUGUGAUGGGUUUUUUCUUCAUCACGAGAAGUAUGCACAUGAACUUCUCGAGCGCACCGGCAUGCUUAACUGCAAGCCUGUCACCACUCCCUGUGAUACGAGGGCAGAGCUCUCCGCUCUUGAUGGAUCUCCCACACCGGAUGGUUCUCUUUAUCGCUGUGUUGUCGGUGCACUUCGGUACUUGACUCUCACCAGACCGGACUUACAGUAUGCAGUACAACAUGUGUGUCUUCACAUGCAUUCUCCUCGCAACAGGAACUAGAACUUGGUGAAGCGGAUCCUUCGUUACAUUCGCGACACCAUGGACCUAGGGCUCACCUUGACAACAUCAUCAUCCACCGACAUGGUUGCAUAUUUCAACGCUGAUUGGACAAGCUGCCCUGACACUCGUCGCUCUACAUCCAGCUAGUGCAUUCACCUCGGGCCUUCCCUUAUCUCUUGGUCAUCGAAACGACAACCGACGAUGUCCCACUCUAUUGUCGAGGCAGAGUAUAGAGUAGUGGCCAACGCCGUUGCCGAAUGCUCCUGGUUACGGCAGCUUCUUCAGGAGAGCUUCAUCAUGACGCAUCAUAGGCUACACUUGUGUACUGUGACAACAUCCCCGUCGUCUACCUCUCCGCCAACCCGUUCAUCUUCGCCGCACGAAGCACAUCGAGCUGGACAUCCACUUCGUGCGUGAGAAGGUGGCUCUUGGACGCAUUUGCGUCUUACAUGUGCCGACUGCGCAAUAGUUUGCCGACCUUAUGACCAAGGGGUUACCGACGUCUACUUUCGAGGAGUUCAGGUCCAGUCUAUACGUCACUAGUGACGCUUAGGCAGCUAGGAUUAUGUUUCUUAUUUCCUAGUUUAUCUCCCAAUCCUUUCCGUAUAUAACAGAUACGUUGAGAUAUUUUUGCCCAUGUACUCUAUAUAUGUUAAGCCAUACGAUCAAUGCAAAUAUUCACAAUCUACAAUCAUAUCAUCCAAGUGUAGCAACUGUACAUGUUAGUCACAUGCAUGUACUCCGCGAUCACUCGAGUCAAUGCAAUCGAUACCAAAUUCCAAAAUCGGCCGGCCCUUGUUCUUAUCUCCCUCUCCCUUUCUGAUGCUAAGCAUUAAGUGCAGCUAACUGCAUGCUCUUGUUUUGGACCGAGCUUUAAUCUGACCCGGGCAAUUUGCAGUUACUGCUUUUCUGCAGCAUAUUGUGUAUAGUCAUCUCACAUCAUAAGACUGAUAUUGAGAGGGAUGGAGGUCAGAGAGGAGAGGGCAGGGCAGUGGGCGGUCAGGGGUCAAUGUCGCAAUGCCCAGUUUAGGUGAGCAGCACCUGAUCCUCACCCCACGAGGCAGGUCGCCGGAUUCGUGCUAAGCUAAAAAUCUUUUCUCACGCCAAUAUAUUAUAUUCUUUCUACUUGAUGGUUCAUCGAUGCACUGCGCGGCAUCACACUACAUACGUCCAUGCAUGUGAGGCUGGAGCAAGUGCAAAAGCAACGGUUAUAUGCUGCACAGCUGCAAAAUGAGUUAAUUGUGCGAAAGCACAACAUUGAGGGGUAGGUUUACACAAAACAAGCCUUCACAAAAUUUUUGCAAAAAAGAAAAAGAAACUGUGUAUGGUAAACAUUUUGCAUAUACCACUAAUCCGUGGAGUAAUGUUUUAAACAUUUUUAUGACAAGUGGGUCCCGCUUUUUGCCGAUGUGGCAUAUCGGCUAGCUCGCUUCGAACGGCAUUAACCUGCGCGAGUGGAGACGUCUGGUUUAAACAUGGACCUGAACCGAACUCUUUCCUCGCUGUGUGGUCUCUGAUAGAGGUGAAGGUGUCCUGAUGUUUCGAUGAGAUCGAGGUAGCUAUCGUUUUUGGUGGAAGUCGACUUUGAUGAUCCGACUAUAAACGUGCGAGGACGUCACGUCUUAGUAUUCAACUCCGAUAGAAUAUUGAUCAUGACGGAGCACGAUUAACUUGACCGUGAGUUUCUAUUGCAUGUACAGAAACAAAGAACAAGUAAGAAAGUGAGAUCGCAAUCUGAAUAUUGCGAAUUUAAGAGGAAACCUUUACUAAUCAAGUGCGUCCUGUGACGUGUUGGUCUGAUGGUUAAACAGAAGCGAAGGGUGCCAGUUACAACUAUGACAAACUUUAAUCGAAACAAAACCCCAAUUCUAAAUGGUGCCUUAAGAGCUCUAUUUGUAGGAAAAGAGUAGAUAUUUCGUCCACUCUUGACAAAGUGGGACUAAAACACCUUUUGAGUUGUUUCCCAUACAAUACGGGCUCUAAAAACAACCUAAUAAGAGGUAUUUGGAAAUUACAUGAACCUAGCCUAGAAAUAAGGCGGUGCAACACCUAAGUAAAGCUAAUGACGAAAUUUAUGCGAGACAUCCUGUAUAUUUCGUCCAUCUUCCUGUAUGUCACAUCCCUAGUUUGGUAAUGCACUAGGAUAGCUCACCUUGAUUGCAUCAUGUUUAAAUUCAAAUGAAACUUGAAAUCGGGAUGAUCAAACCCUAGCACCAAAAUAAUUCAACUAGGUUAAACUUUAAAUAUUUUUCAAUGAACACAAAAUUCCCUUCAAAAAUGUCCAUGAUUUAUGGAAAAGGGUGAAAACCUCAUGAGGACAUCAAUACCAUUUUUACACGCACAUGCCAUGCUGCUAUACAUACUAGACGAAUUAUUAGAGCCCGCGCACGUGAAUUGAAUUACCAUGUACUUUUAUUUUUUUGUAAUAAUUCUAAUGUUCAAGAUAAUAUGAUGCCACCUAAAUUGGAUAUAUUUGCGUUGAUUUCUAAUGAAGGGCCUAUCAUUGAAAAGAGGGAUGAAUAUUGGAGCGGGAUCAAGCAUGGUGAUGAAGGCAUGCGCUAAGGGAACCAGAACGGGGUUUCUGGUGGAGAUUUCAGCACUUUGAAGCUUCAUUAUUAACAUACCAGGACAUGAAUGGAAUAUACAAGAUGCUCUUUCAUAAAAUUUGUCCAUAGUUUAUUAUAUGUGCUGCUCAUUUUAUUUUUGGUCCAGGCCUAUGUAAUUUUGAAAUACAAUUUCCUAGGUUGGUAAUAGAGUCUGUAUUGUAGGGGAAAUGACUCGGGAUGUGAUUUAGUCCCACCUUGUCAAGGUUGGAUGAAAUCCCCUCCGUUUCCUCUAUAAAUACAGCCCUUAAGGCACCAUUUAGACUUGGGGUUUGUUUAGAUAAAAAGUUCGCCAUAGCUAUAACUUUGCGUCCUUCGUUUGUGUUCCACGACUAGACCAAG